CACAAGUUUGGUCCUGGCUUUACUGUCAACUUUGAUUAAAUUUAUACAUGCAAGUAUCCGCGAUCCCGUGAGAAUGCCCUACACUGCCCGCAUGCGGGAAAGAGGAGCCGAUAUCAGGCACAACCAUCAAUUGGCCCAUGACAUCUUGUUUAGCCACACCCCCAAGGGAACCCAGCAGUAAUAAACAUUAAGCUAAAAGUGUAAACUUGCCUUAGUUAGCAUCAAAAGGGCCGGUAAACCUCGUGCCAGCCACCGCGGUUAUACGAGCUGGGCCCAAGCUGACAGAAUUCGGCGUAAAGGGUGGUUAAUGGUCUCUUUACUAAAGCCAAACAUCUUCAGAGCUGUCAUAAGCCCACGAAGACAGGAAGCCCUCCUACGAAGGUGGCUUUAAAACUUAUGACCCCACGAAAGCUAGGAAACAAACUGGGAUUAGAUACCCCACUAUGCCUAGCCCUAAACAUAAACAAUUAGGUUACAGUAAUUGUUCGCCAGGGAACAACGAGCCUCAGCUUAAAACCCAAAGGACUUGGCGGUGCUUUAGACCCCCCUAGAGGAGCCUGUUCUAGAACCGAUACUCCCCGUUUAACCUCACCCCCUCUUGCUAUUACCGCCUGUAUACCGCCGUCGUCAGCUCACCCUGUGAAGGGUAAAUAGUAAGCAAAAUUGGCAAAGCCUAAAACGUCAGGUCGAGGUGCAGCACACGAGGGGGCAAGAAAUGGGCUACAUUUCCUGAAACAGCAAACACGAAUGUUGUGCUGAAAUGAACAUCUGAAGGAGGAUUUAGCAGUAAGAGGGGAACAGAGUGCCCCCCUGAAAACGGCCCUGAAGCGCGCACACACCGCCCGUCACUCUCCCCAAGACGCGCACAAAAUAGCUAAUACAACAAGCAUACAAAAGGGGAGGCAAGUCGUAACAUGGUAAGUGUACCGGAAGGUGCACUUGGUCAAAC
rnacentral:ncRNA from 1 species